rnacentral:rRNA from 1 species
GAUUCGGGGUGCACCAGGCGCGAAACCUUAGCAAUGUGCGAAAGCACGACUGGGUCAGUCCGAGUGAUUCCUGAUAAAGGAGUCUUUUGCUUGUCCUAAAAGCACAGGUGAAUAAGGGGUGGGCAAGUCUGGUGUCAGCCGCCGCGGUAAUACCAGCACCUCGAGUGGUCAGGACGUUUAUUGGGCCUAAAGCAUCCGUAGCCGGCUCUGCAAGUCUUCGGUUAAAUCCACCUGCUCAACAGAUGGGCUGCUGGAGAUACCACAGAGCUAGGGAGUGGGAGAGGCAGACGGUAUUCAGUGGGUAGGGGUAAAAUCCUCUGAUCCAUUGAGGACCACCAGUGGCGAAGGCGGUCUGCCAGAACACGUUCGACGGUGAGGGAUGAAAGCUGGGGGAGCAAACCGGAUUAGAUACCCGGGUAGUCCCAGCUGUAAACGAUGCAAACUCGGUGAUGCAUUGGCUUAUGGCCAAUGCAGUGCCGCAGGGAAGCCGUUAAGUUUGCCGCCUGGGAAGUACGGACGCAAGUCUGAAACUUAAAGGAAUUGGCGGGGGAGCACAAUCACUAGUGAAU